rnacentral:rRNA from 1 species
ACAUGCAAGUCGAACGAACUCUGGUAUUGAUUGGUGCUUGCAUCAUGAUUUACAUUUGAGUGAGUGGCGAACUGGUGAGUAACACGUGGGAAACCUGCCCAGAAGCGGGGGAUAACACCUGGAAACAGAUGCUAAUACCGCAUAACAACUUGGACCGCAUGGUCCGAGUUUGAAAGAUGGCUUCGGCUAUCACUUUUGGAUGGUCCCGCGGCGUAUUAGCUAGAUGGUGGGGUAACGGCUCACCAUGGCAAUGAUACGUAGCCGACCUGAGAGGGUAAUCGGCCACAUUGGGACUGAGACACGGCCCAAACUCCUACGGGAGGCAGCAGUAGGGAAUCUUCCACAAUGGACGAAAGUCUGAUGGAGCAACGCCGCGUGAGUGAAGAAGGGUUUCGGCUCGUAAAACUCUGUUGUUAAAGAAGAACAUAUCUGAGAGUAACUGUUCAGGUAUUGACGGUAUUUAACCAGAAAGCCACGGCUAACUACGUGCCAGCAGCCGCGGUAAUACGUAGGUGGCAAGCGUUGUCCGGAUUUAUUGGGCGUAAAGCGAGCGCAGGCGGUUUUUUAAGUCUGAUGUGAAAGCCUUCGGCUCAACCGAAGAAGUGCAUCGGAAACUGGGAAACUUGAGUGCAGAAGAGGACAGUGGAACUCCAUGUGUAGCGGUGAAAUGCGUAGAUAUAUGGAAGAACACCAGUGGCGAAGGCGGCUGUCUGGUCUGUAACUGACGCUGAGGCUCGAAAGUAUGGGUAGCAAACAGGAUUUAGAUACCCUGGUAGUCCAUACCGUAAACGAUGAAUGCUAAGUGUUGGAGGGUUUCCGCCCUUCAGUGCUGCAGCUAACGCAUUAAGCAUUCCGCCUGGGGAGUACGGCCGCAAGGCUGAAACUCAAAGGAAUUGACGGGGGCCCGCACAAGCGGUGGAGCAUGUGGUUUAAUUCGAAGCUACGCGAAGAACCUUACCAGGUCUUGACAUACUAUGCAAAUCUAAGAGAUUAGACGUUCCCUUCGGGGACAUGGAUACAGGUGGUGCAUGGUUGUCGUCAGCUCGUGUCGUGAGAUGUUGGGUUAAGUCCCGCAACGAGCGCAACCCUUAUUAUCAGUUGCCAGCAUUAAGUUGGGCACUCUGGUGAGACUGCCGGUGACAAACCGGAGGAAGGUGGGGAUGACGUCAAAUCAUCAUGCCCCUUAUGACCUGGGCUACACACGUGCUACAAUGGAUGGUACAACGAGUUGCGAACUCGCGAGAGUAAGCUAAUCUCUUAAAGCCAUUCUCAGUUCGGAUUGUAGGCUGCAACUCGCCUACAUGAAGUCGGAAUCGCUAGUAAUCGCGGAUCAGCAUGCCGCGGUGAAUACGUUCCCGGGCCUUGUACACACCGCCCGUCACACCAUGAGAGUUUGUAACACCCAAAGUCGGUGGGGUAACCUUUUAGGAACCAGCCGCCUAAG